rnacentral:rRNA from 1 species
GGGAUGAGCUGUGGAUAGGGGUGAAAGGCCAAUCAAACUUCGUGAUAGCUGGUUCUCUCCGAAAUGCAUUUAGGUGCAGCGUCGUAUUAUAGCUUGGUGGAGGUAGAGCGACUGGUUGGUUGAGCGGGACUACAAUCUUAGCAAUGUCAGCCAAACUCCGAAUGCCACUAAUUGUGUUGUACGGCAGUGAGACUGUGGGGGAUAAGCUUCAUAGUCGAGAGGGAAACAGCCCAGAUCGCCGGCUAAGGUCCCCAAGUCGUGGCUAAGUGGGAAAGGAUGUGGGACUCCCAAAACAACCAGGAGGUUGGCUUAGAAGCAGCCAUCCUUGAAAGAGUGCGUAAUAGCUCACUGGUCGAGUGGUUCUGCGCCGACAAUGUAGCGGGGCUCAAGUACACCGCCGAAACCGCGGCAAUCAACAUGUGUUUGUUGGUUGGGUAGGGGAGCGUCGUGCACGACGGUGAAGCACCUGGGUAACUUGAUGGUGUGGAGUGUGUGCGAGUGAGAAUGCAGGCAUGAGUAACGAAUGAUAUGUGGAAAACAUAUCCGCCGGAUGACUAAGGGUUCCUGGGUUAAGCUAAUCUUCCCAGGGUGAGUCGGGACCUAAGGCGAGGCCGACAGGCGUAGUCGAUGGAUAACGGGUUGAUAUUCCCGUACCCGUGUGCGUGCGACAAGUGAUGAAUCUUAUGGUA